rnacentral:sRNA from 1 species
AGCGGUUUAGAAUCGUGAAGGAUGAGAACCGUAAGGUUCGACAAAAUCGAUAUCGUCGAUUUUGAACAACGCGCAAGCGUUGACCCGAAGGGUGAGGCCUUAGGCCGAAUAAUCCUGCACGACCCACCC